rnacentral:rRNA from 1 species
GGUGAAGCCAAGCUUGCUUGGUGGAUCAGUGGCGAACGGGUGAGUAACACGUGAGCAACCUGCCCUGGACUCUGGGAUAAGCGCUGGAAACGGCGUCUAAUACUGGAUAUGAGACGUGAUCGCAUGGUCGUGUUUGGAAAGAUUUUUCGGUCUGGGAUGGGCUCGCGGCCUAUCAGCUUGUUGGUGAGGUAAUGGCUCACCAAGGCGUCGACGGGUAGCCGGCCUGAGAGGGUGACCGGCCACACUGGGACUGAGACACGGCCCAGACUCCUACGGGAGGCAGCAGUGGGGAAUAUUGCACAAUGGGCGAAAGCCUGAUGCAGCAACGCCGCGUGAGGGAUGACGGCCUUCGGGUUGUAAACCUCUUUUAGCAGGGAAGAAGCGAAAGUGACGGUACCUGCAGAAAAAGCGCCGGCUAACUACGUGCCAGCAGCCGCGGUAAUACGUAGGGCGCAAGCGUUAUCCGGAAUUAUUGGGCGUAAAGAGCUCGUAGGCGGUUUGUCGCGUCUGCUGUGAAAUCCCGAGGCUCAACCUCGGGCCUGCAGUGGGUACGGGCAGACUAGAGUGCGGUAGGGGAGAUUGGAAUUCCUGGUGUAGCGGUGGAAUGCGCAGAUAUCAGGAGGAACACCGAUGGCGAAGGCAGAUCUCUGGGCCGUAACUGACGCUGAGGAGCGAAAGGGUGGGGAGCAAACAGGCUUAGAUACCCUGGUAGUCCACCCCGUAAACGUUGGGAACUAGUUGUGGGGACCAUUCCACGGUUUCCGUGACGCAGCUAACGCAUUAAGUUCCCCGCCUGGGGAGUACGGCCGCAAGGCUAAAACUCAAAGGAAUUGACGGGGGACCCGCACAAGCCGGCGGAGCAUGCCGGAUUAAUUCGAUGCAACGCGAAAAAACCUUACCAAGGGCUUGACAUAUACGAGAACGGGCCAGAAAUGGUCAACUCUUUGGACACUCGUAAACAGGUGGUGCAUGGUUGUCGUCAGCUCGUGUCGUGAGAUGUUGGGUUAAGUCCCGCAACGAGCGCAACCCUCGUUCUAUGUUGCCAGCACGUAAUGGUGGGAACUCAUGGGAUACUGCCGGGGUCAACUCGGAGGAAGGUGGGGAUGACGUCAAAUCAUCAUGCCCCUUAUGUCUUGGGCUUCACGCAUGCUACAAUGGCCGGUACAAAGGGCUGCAAUACCGUGAGGUGGAGCGAAUCCCAAAAAGCCGGUCCCAGUUCGGAUUGAGGUCUGCAACUCGACCUCAUGAAGUCGGAGUCGCUAGUAAUCGCAGAUCAGCAACGCUGCGGUGAAUACGUUCCCGGGUCUUGUACACACCGCCCGUCAAGUCAUGAAAGUCGGUAACACCUGAAGCCGGUGGCCCAACC